rnacentral:rRNA from 1 species
CCCAGACUCCUACGGGAGGCAGCAGUGGGGAAUAUUGGGCAAUGGGCGCAAGCCUGACCCAGCAACGCCGCGUGAAGGAAGAAGGCUUUCGGGUUGUAAACUUCUUUGACAGGGGAAGAGCAGAAGACGGUACCCUGAAAACAAGCCCCGGCUAACUACGUGCCAGCAGCCGCGGUAAUACGUAGGGGGCAAGCGUUAUCCGGAUUCACUGGGUGUAAAGGGAGCGUAGACGGCGACGCAAGUCUGGAGUGAAAGCCCGGGGCCCAACCCCGGGACUGCUCUGGAAACUGCGGCGCUGGAGUACGGGAGGGGCAGGCGGAAUUCCUGGUGUAGCGGUGAAAUGCGUAGAUAUCAGGAGGAACACCGGCGGCGAAGGCGGCCUGCUGGACCGUGACUGACGUUGAGGCUCGAGAGCGUGGGGAGCAAACAGGAUUAGAUACCCCUGUAAC